AGAGUUUGAUCAUGGCUCAGAAUCAACGCUGGCGGCGUGCCUCAGACAUGCAAGUCGAACGCGAAAGCCCCCUUCGGGGGGCAAGUAGAGUGGCGCACGGGUGAGUAACACGUAGGUAAUCUACCUUUGGAUGGGGAAUAACAACCGGAAACGGUUGCUAAUACCGCAUAAUGCAGCGGCACCUAAUGGUGACAGUUGUUAAAGCGGGGGAUCGCAAGACCUCGCGUCUGAAGAGGAGCCUGCGGCGGAUUAGCUAGUUGGUAAGGUAACGGCUUACCAAGGCUGUGAUCCGUAGCCGGCCUGAGAGGGCGGUCGGCCACACUGACACUGACAUACGGGUCAGACUCCUACGGGAGGCAGCAGUCGGGAAUUUUGGGCAAUGGGCGAAAGCCUGACCCAGCAACGCCGCGUGAAGGAUGAAAUCCUUCGGGAUGUAAACUUCGCAAGAACAGGAAGAAUAAGUAAGAGUUAAUAUCUCUUACGAUGACGGUACUGUUUGUAAGCUCCGGCUAACUCCGUGCCAGCAGCCGCGGUAAUACGGGGGGAGCAAGCGUUGUUCGGAUUUACUGGGCGUAAAGGGCGCGUAGGCGGCCACCGCAAGUCGACUGUGAAAUCUCCGGGCUUAACCCGGAAAGGUCAGCCGAUACUGCGGGGCUAGAGUGCAGAAGGGGCAACUGGAAUUCUCGGUGUAGCGGUGAAAUGC
rnacentral:rRNA from 1 species